UAAAGGUUGAUCCUGGCUCAGGAUGAAAGCUAACUACCCGCUUAACUCAUGCUAGUCAAGAGGAAACAGCCUUAAUUGCUUGCACUCAUUGGACGACUACCGGCGCAAGGUUGACUAACUCUGAUCCAACCUUCCCAUUACUGUGGCACACCCCGCCCAGAGGCAGACUAUUACCGCAUAGUCUUCCAUGACGCCAUCAGAUUUGAAGGACAGAUUUAUCGUCCAAUGCAUGGGCAUGCUUCUGAUUAGCUUGCUGGCGGGAUAACCCCCCCCCAACGCAACGAUCAAUAGGGGUUCUGAGAGGAAGGUCCCCCUCAUUGGAACUGAGACACGGUCCAAACUCCUACGGGAGGCAGCAGUGAGGAAUAUUGGUCAAUGGACGGAAGUCUGAACCAGCCAAGUAGCGUGCAGGAUGACGGCCCUAUGGGUUGUAAACUGCUUUUGUAUGGGGAUAAAGUUAGGGACGUGUCCCUAUUUGCAGGUACCAUACGAAUAAGGACCGGCUAAUUCCGUGCCAGCAGCCGCGGUAAUACGGAAGGUCCAGGCGUUAUCCGGAUUUAUUGGGUUUAAAGGGAGCGUAGGCUGGAGAUUAAGUGUGUUGUGAAAUGUAGACGCUCAACGUCUGAAUUGCAGCGCAUACUGGUUUCCUUGAGUACGCACAACGUUGGCGGAAUUCGUCGUGUAGCGGUGAAAUGCUUAGAUAUGACGAAGAACUCCGAUUGCGAAGGCAGCUGACGGGAGCGCAACUGACGCUUAAGCUCGAAGGUGCGGGUAUCAAACAGGAUUAGAUACCCUGGUAGUCCGCACAGUAAACG
rnacentral:rRNA from 1 species